CCCGGCCUCCCAAAGUGCUGGGAUUACAGGCAUGAGCCACCGCGCCCAGCCCAGUCUCUGAUUUUAACAAGAUUUCAUCUUGGGACUAAUGGUACAAAUUUCACCCAUCCCUAACUAACUCUCAUUGAAAUGUAGAGAAACAGAUGAUCAAGACUCUGCUAGCAGGAGAAAAAGAGAGAAAAGAGAGAUGAAAAAGUCUUGUGUGACCAGAAGCUUAUCAACCUUGUGUGCUGUUGGCUUACUUUAACAUUUACAGCAGAUGAUAGAAUUGUGUUCAGAUGACACAAUAAGGUAUCAAAUGACUUCACGAAAGCAAGACGGCACUGAACCCCAAGGUAAGAGAUUGUACGGACAUCAUUUAAAGGUUUGUGUCCCCCCUUAAAGGUUUGUGUCCCCCUUUGGUAGUCCAGACAUGAAAACGUCUAAUCUGGGUGU
rnacentral:lncRNA from 1 species